UACCUAUAGCCCCCUUCACUGCCCUCCUCCACCCUCCUCCUUGAUCCUCACCUUGUCUCUUACAAGGGCCACUGUGUAUGAAGGAGAUGACUGGGUGCUGUCCCAUCCUUGGACACUGACACCUUUUCCUAACUAAUAGGGCAGAUGUGAAAUGGCACCCUAUUCCCUAAAUAGUGCACUGUUAUAUUCUUGUACACGUAGGUAACAGGGUGCCAUUUGAGACCAAGCCUAAAACACAAUCUGCAAAGCAAUUUAGAUAAUCUACCCAGGAUGCAACGGUACACCUUUCUGCUGUACUUGUGCCAGUUGCCAGGGGCUGUCUGUGUGCUGGUGCUAUUAAGUGUUUCCCAAAUGGAACUCCAUUCCCUAUAUAGUGCACUACUUUUGACCAGGGACCAUAGGGCUCUGGUCAAAAGUAGUGCACUACUUAGGGAAUAGUGUGUCAUUUGGGAUGUUAUCUCCUUCUCUGCUGGGACCAUACAAACCUGCCUUAUUCCCUUUGGGGGCAAAUCCUAGCUUCCACUUAAGUUGAAUUUUCACUUAGUCAUGAGGAUGUGAAUGGGAGAGAAUUUGUCUUAAGUGCAAGUUAGGAUUUGACUCUUAGUCCGAAACAAUCCGUCACAUUGGAUCCCAAUUCAUCUUUUAGUUUAGUUUUCUAUUCCAGAAAAAUACUUGACUUUCUUAUCUUCUGUACUUUUAGACUUGUAUUAUGACAUUACAGAAGAAGACAUGUAUCACUAGGGACAGAGGACUACUGUUAUAUUAUUUUGAUUCAUUUUUUUUUGCUAACUUCUCGAUAGCUAUAUAUGCAUUGUUUUCUACAUGUACAGGGCAACUAGGUAUAUAAUAUUUAAUGUGCUCCCUCUAAAUAUUCGUAUUAACAGAAGAUGUAACUAGUCUGUCCGUGACACCCCUCCCCCUCCCCAAUGUUCCUCCUACUGUAAAUGAUUUGCCCUCUUGUUCUAGCAAAUAUUGCAGGGUUUUGUUGUAAUGACGUGUAAAGGUUUUGAAUCAGCUGGACCUGGCAUAGCGCCGUCCUCUCGCUGAGAUGGCAAACAGGCUCAAGAUUGUGUAAUAAUAAUCUCUCUUUUUGUAAAUUCUAUUCUAAAGGAUAUUUUUGUAUAUGCUGUUUCUCCUCUCUUCAGUUUCUGCCCUGCUACAACAGGGACAGUCCACUCCAGUCCGGGAGGACUUCAAGUCUCCUGGGUUUCUUUCUCUCUCGCUCCUUCUAAUCAGACUAAUUAAAACCCGGUGAUGACAUCGCCAGAUGAUUAGACUCUCUGGCCAAUCAGAGACAUGAUUCAAUCAAUCAAUGAACUAAACCAGGAGUACUUUGGCGUUCCAGGCCUGGAGUUGAAUUCCCUUGGACCCUAACUGCUACCACUAGCAUUUGUUUUGGAGCCCGCCUGUGCCUUUUGGAGAGUCCCAUCAGCAGCAGCAGCAGCAGCACGUGUAGCGACAUGCUCAGCCGUGUUGGUUGGUCAACUCCUCUUGGAAACUGCUUGCAUCCCAAAUGGCACCAUAUUCCCUAUAUAGUCCACUACUUAUGAACACACCAGACUCUGGUCAAAUGUAGUGCACUAUGUAGGGAAUAGGGCCCUAUGGGGGCUCUGGUCAAAAGUAGUGCACUAUAUAGGGAACAUGGUGCCUUUUUGGGUCACAGACCCUCUCUGACACCCCUCCUCCUCCCACACAACGCAGACCUGUUUGUAUUUUGCAGAAAUCAAUGGACCCGUCAGUAAAGACUAAAGACAUCAAGUAGAACAUGCUUCCUUGUUUUCCUACACUGUUUUUAAAAGUCUCUAGAGGGGCUGGGGGAGGAGUAGCGCUGGGGCUUCCUCUGUGUGUGUGUGGUGAUUCUCUCCCUCUGUGUGUGGGGGAAAUCUCUCUGUGGGUGUGUGGAUUCUCUCUCUCUCUGUGGAUGUGUGUGGGGGGGAAUUCUGUGUGUGUUGUUAAACUCCCUGCCCCCGGGGGGGGGGGUGGAUGAGGACGUGGAGUCCUCCUCCCUAGUGAUCAAACAUGAGCUUUAUGAUCGACUGAGACCAUAAAGAACAAACCACACAGACACAUACAGGCCUAGUGUAUGUGAGACUGACUGCAACCCAGAGGAAUGAGAGACACAGUGUGUGUGUGUGUGUGUGUGUGUGUGUGUGUGUGUGUGUGUGUGUGUGUGUGUGUGUGUGUGUGUGUGUGUGUGUGUGUGUGUGUGUGUGUGUGUGUGUGUGUGUGUGUGUGUGUGUGUGUGUGUGUGUGAUCAUGCUGUAGGUGUCCAGAGGGUACAUUCACUAACUUGGGACUUGGCAGGAAGUGAGCUCAGCUAGAGUUCUCCAUCAACCUGGGGUUUUACACACACACAUGGUUCCAUAUAAGGUCCACGUCCACCUGGGUUUUAUCCAUCUAAUGUGACACAUUUUCUCACUGGGUUGGCACAUAUGAUGCAUGACACACACUUCAAUUGGAAGGGUUUUAGUAUGUUUUCAAUGAAAUGAGUUCCCACACACCUGGGGGUUUCCACCCUGUGUUUGACACACUUCCUCCCUGUGACUAGAGGUGGAGGAGUUAUUGAUCAGGCUUGUCACACUGACACACACUUCCUCCCUGUGACUAGAGGUGGAGGAGUUAUUGAUGAGGCUUGUCACACCGACACACACUUCUAUGGGGGGCAGGUUUCUGGUAUGUAUUGGGCUCACGUGUUCCAAUUACAUUACUUACACGUUUCAUUUCCGAAGCUACUGGUCCCAUUGAGGAACCUCGGUUUAAUGAAUAAAGAUAUACAUCUGGAA